UAAACUCUCGGCCCUUUUCGGGGUUGGACUUUGGACGCUGCGGGAGCCGCCUUCCGCUCGUCUCAAAUGCAUUAGCGGGGGUUUCGGUACCCAUUGCUGGCGUUUAGUAAUGCUUGCGCCGCGCGGGGUUCUUCGACCGCUCACUAGCCUUUUGGCGCCACGGCGUCGAACUUUGACU
rnacentral:misc_RNA from 2 species